rnacentral:rRNA from 1 species
UACUUCAGGGGUAGGGGUGAAAUCCUGUAAUCCUUGAGGGACCACCAGUGGCGAAGGCGUCUGACCAAAACGGGUCCGACGACAAGGGACGAAGCCUAGGGGCGCAAACGGGAUUAGAUACCCCGGUAGUCCUAGGUGUAAACGCUGCGGGCUUGGUGUUGGGGGUCCUAUGUGGGCGUCCAGUGCCGGAGUGAAGAUGUUAAGCCCGUUACCUGGGGAGUACGGUCGCAAGACUGAAACUUAAAGGAAU